rnacentral:rRNA from 1 species
AUACGGAGGAUGCAAGCGUUAUCCGGAUUUAUUGGGUUUAAAGGGUGCGUAGGCUGUUCGGAAAGUCAGGGGUGAAAGCCCGGCGCCUAACGCCGGAACUGCCUUUGAUACUUCCGAGCUGUAAUACGGAUGCCGCGGGAGGAAUGAGUAGUGUAGCGGUGAAAUGCAUAGAUAUUACUCAGAACACCGAUUGCGAAGGCAUCUCACGAAUCCGUCAUUGACGCUGAGGCACGAAAGCGUGGGGAUCAAACAGGAUUAGAUACCCUGGUAGUCCACGCAGUAAACGAUGAUGACUAACCGUCGGCGACACACAGUCGGUGGCCAAGCGAAAGCGAUAAGUCAUCCACCUGGGGAGUACGUUCGCAAGAAUGAAACUCAAAGGAAUUGACGGGG